CUAUUAUUCGUUUAAAAAAUAUCAACAAACAUAAUAACUGUACGACGACAACGAUUUUUAGAUUCCAGUGAAAAGGAUUAUACUCGCUGGCAUAUUUUUUUACGAUACGUAGAGAGACCAAGAAUUCUACUUUCAAAACAAUAUUUUCUGCCGAUCAACAAAGCUGAAAGUAAAUCUGGAGGAGACUGGUUUCUACCGCGUUCAAUAUUCAGAUGAAUUAUUUUCAGCUUUAAAGAUUGCAGUGAAAUCGUAACAGUUGUCCUUUUUGGAUAGAGAAAUCUUAUUAAAGACUCUUGCACUGUCGCAGAGGAACACGAAGACUGGCUGGCGUAUUUAAAUAGCCUUCUUCAGUACAUAUUGCCUAAACUAAAAAAAUAUUCAACGCAAAUAAAUUAUACUAACGUUGAACUUCAAAGCCAAUUCUAUAAACUUCUUGGGCUUCAAGGCGAUGCUAAAAACUAUCCUAAUAGCUAAAGAAGGGUUUAAAACUUACCUAAAUAACAGCUUCUCGCAGCACAUAUUUCUCCAAUCGGCUUCGCUCGCUGUUGUGGCGCUUUACGCGAACUUGCCAAUAUACUGGCGUUGGUUGCUUAAUCGAAUGCGAAAGACGCAGCGAUUAUUAAAGAAGCGCUAAAGGCUUAUCGAAAAUUUAAAGCUGACGAGUUAGAUUGGAUGUUUGUUGUAGGCGAGCACUAGCCACUAAUCCUAUUGGUAAAGAGCAAGUAUGGCAUUUGCUCAGGGACGAAUGGGAUGAAAGGAUUAAUAUUUUUAAUAACAGCGCUGAAAUUACUCCCUUGCAGUUGUUGUUUCCUCGCUAACCAAGAAAAAAAGCAUCGGCGAACUUGUAAAAUAUGCUUAUGCAGUUAAUUAUUCCGAAAGAAGAAAGUUACUUUUUUUCUAUCAUUCACAGCGC